rnacentral:tRNA from 1 species
GUGACCGUAGCUCAGUUGGUAGAGCCCCGGAUUGUGAUUCCGGUUGUCGUGGGUUCGAUUCCCAUCGGUCACCCCA